rnacentral:lncRNA from 1 species
UGGCUGACGGUUGGUUGGGCUAAGCAGUGCUGCUAUGGUGCUCAAGGUUAUGGGGUUGGGAAUGGUGGCUAGUGUUAGGGUUAAUUUAUGUAUAUAUGCUAAAAAAUAUUUAAUUGAGAAACUAUAUUAAAAUCCUACAAUGCGCGUUUUCACUUUGCUAAGAAUUGUUUUUUUUCUUUUUUUUUCUUGCAGCUGGAAAUUAGAAGUUUGUGGAUUUAUUUUUAUCUGUGUUUGAGAUAGACAUGGUUAUAGUUUUAAGGACUGUUUAAAUUUACGGUGGUGUCGUGGAGCUAGGUGACCUAUAAAAUUCAUAUGCCAUGUUAGUAUAGAGCAAUCUCCUGGAAAGUUGGAUUGCGUUGCAACUCAAGGUCCCUGUUGAUGGUGAU